rnacentral:rRNA from 1 species
UACGUAGGGGGCUAGCGUUGUCCGGAAUCAUUGGGCGUAAAGAGCGUGUAGGCGGCUCGGUAAGUCUCCGGUGAAAUCGCCCGGCUCAACUGGGCGGGUGCCGGGGAGACUGGCGGACUUGAGGAGCCUAGAGGCCGGUGGAACUCCCGGUGUAGUGGUGAAAUGCGUAGAGAUCGGGAAGAACACCAGUGGCGAAGGCGGCCGGCUGGGGGUGUCCUGACGCUGAGGCGCGAGAGCGUGGGGAGCAAACCGG